rnacentral:rRNA from 1 species
UACGUAGGGUGCGAGCGUUGUCCGGAAUUAUUGGGCGUAAAGAGCUCGUAGGCGGUCUGUCGCGUCGGUCGUGAAAACUUGGGGCUUCACCCUGAGCUUGCGGUCGAUACGGGCAUGACUGGAGUUCGGCAGGGGAGACUGGAAUUCCUGGUGUAGCGGUGAAAUGCGCAGAUAUCAGGAGGAACACCGGUGGCGAAGGCGGGUCUCUGGGCCGAUACUGACGCUGAGGAGCGAAAGCGUGGGGAGCGAACAGG